rnacentral:rRNA from 1 species
AUUGAACGCUGCGGCAGGCCUAACACAUGCAAGUCGAGCGGUAGAGAGAAGCUUGCUUCUCUUGAGAGCGGCGGACGGGUGAGUAAUGCCUAGGAAUCUGCCUGAUAGUGGGGGAUAACGUCCGGAAACGGACGCUAAUACCGCAUACGUCCUACGGGAGAAAGUGGGGGCUCUUCGGACCUCACGCUAUCAGAUGAGCCUAGGUCGGAUUAGCUAGUUGGUGGGGUAAAGGCUCACAAAGGCGACGAUCCGUAACUGGUCUGAGAGGAUGAUCAGUCACACUGGAACUGAGACACGGUCCAGACUCCUACGGGAGGCAGCAGUGGGGAAUAUUGGACAAUGGGCGAAAGCCUGAUCCAGCCAUGCCGCGUGUGUGAAGAAGGUCUUCGGAUUGUAAAGCACUUUAAGUUGGGAGGAAGGGUCGUUACCUAAUACGUGACGAUUUUGACGUUACCGACAGAAUAAGCACCGGCUAACUCUGUGCCAGCCGCCGCCGUAACAC